UGCACCCUGCCUGGUGCGCGGACCGUUGCAUGAAUAACCCUACAAUGUUUUUUCGGGAGUUUUGCUCCGGUGGCGGACUUCAGACCUCCCGGCUUCGGCUGGACGAAGGGAGUACGAAACCAUUGGGCGGACACCCACCUGCUAUUGGGUAGCAGGUUAUUUCAGCACAUUACGGCCAGGCGGGAUUUAU
rnacentral:other from 1 species